UCCGAUUUAUCAUCGGCAGUUUCUCUAGAGUACCCAGCAUAACCUGAUGGUAACUAAAAAUGAGGGUUGCGCUCGUUGCGGGACUUAACCCAACAUCUCACGACACGAGCUGACGACAGCCAUGCAACACCUGUGUGUAGUCCAGCCGAACUGACGAAUCCAUCUCUGGAUCCUACGACUACCAUGUCAAAGGCUGGUAAGGUUCUUCGCGUUGCUUCGAAUUAAACCACAUAUUCCACCGCUUGUGCGAGCCCCCGUCAAUUCCUUUGAGUUUUAAUCUUGCGACCGUACUCCCCAGGCGGAAUGCUUAUCAAGUUAUCUUCGACACCGAAUUUUACUCCGAUAUCUAGCAUUCAUCGUUUACAGCGUGGACUAC
rnacentral:misc_RNA from 1 species